UAAAAGAGCUUUCGGAAAACGCAAUCUGAACAUCUGUCGCUGCGAGAGAAAUCAAGCGCCGACUGUUUUCUAGGAGAAAAAUCGUUUUUCAAUUUUAGCCAUAUCUGUACUGAAUUUGACUUUAGUGAACUGAAUCGGCUAGUUCACAAUCACUAAUCGAUGCCCCAUUACACUUUGGGUAGGACAGCAUCAGCAUGAUUUGAAGACCAACAGGACGUAGGAAACCGUUCUCAGGCAGUGAAAAAUCAAUUUUUUCCCCCUUUGUUAAAACAAUUGUCUCUUUGAUCCCCAACAAGUCAGCACAAUCUGCUGUAAAGAUCGCACGGAAGCUGAACGAGAACUGAACGGAACCAAAAUUACACUUGUUUCUAUCUUCAGUUGGAACCAUAUCUCAAAUAUGUCUCAUAUGGGAAUACAUUUUUCUCCCAGAUGUAGUUUUCUACUGUUUCCGAACCAUGUUUCCACGAUUAUCAUGGACAGUGUCGACACAGUGUUAAGAUAGCGCGACCUGGGCUGAGCGGAAGAGCAGAAGUCAGAGCAAUUUGCAUGUUCUCUAACGACAGACAACGCAAUCUCUUCGCAUUAAACCUACACAAGAUCAAAAGAAACUUCAAAACAGAAUAUACUGUUUUAGUAUUUGUCUCAAUUAUUUUACUUUAAGGAAAUAAACAUUCUGCCAAAUGCAUUUUCGUUUUUUGUUUAUUUGACCUUCAGGCAAAAGGACGUACUUUGAUAUCAUUUGUGAACAAUCGAUUUGGUUUCAGCUACAACUUUAGAUUGUCUAGACUGGAUAGGUUUCAAGAUCACGUUUGUGAAGAAAUUUUUUCCCUUUCUAAGGUAAGAUACCCCUUCACAAAUAAAUUACUCAAUCACUUUAAGAGGUAGCACGGGAGGAACUCAGCCGAGACCAAGAAGUCUGUUCAAUUGAAGCAAUGGUAUUUUCUUGGCUGAAGUUAACUCUUGCCUGCAUAAUUUGUGCAACUGCUAUUAGUACAGUGGAUCUGGCGCUGCGGCCGUGAAAAUAGAUUUUUACUCCAGUUCAUCCCAGCCCUCCGGCGUCAACAUUUACAACAUACAGGUAAGCUCUCCUCAAAUGUUCUGUCGCGCCUAAACGUUCGUAAUAAACUGCUAGUAAGGUCUUAGAAUUUAUUACGAGACUUAUUAUUUUGUAAGCACAAUUCGCAUCUACUUUAUUGCUUUCGGCGGUUCUCUUUUCACACUUAAUAUAAGUAAUUCAUGGUGCGUUCUUUCAGAAACAAACGAAAAAAACAACCAUGAACAGUUAAAUGAAUGUAAGGACGAGAUACUCGCAAGCAGGAGGGAAGAAAAUAAGUUCAAAGAGACUUAAUUUUUGGCCUUUAAACUCUCGAGUUGUACCUUACCCCGGUUAUACCUCUGCUAACAAAAUUUUCGGUUAGAAGUCCUGGACCUUCUUACCCCGGCGCUAUGAGUCUCUCAAAAGUACCCCCACCAACAGGAAGUUGUAUCUUAACAUGUGGCUCCCGAUACUAUUUCGGAGUUUAUGAGUUAUUAAAGAACGUUCUGUUGAUGCUAUGGUAAUCUGACAGGUAAAAAACUGACAAGAUCAUCGUCUGCUUCCAAAUGAUCGCGGGGCGUAAGUUGGAUAACAUUCAUUU